AGCUCCAAUAGCGUAUAUUAAAGUUGUUGCAGUUAAAAAGCUCGUAGUUGGAUUUCGGGACGGCACGGUCGGUCCGCCGCAAGGUGUGUUACUGGCCGGGCUGUUCUUCUUCGCAAAGACUGCGUGUGCUCUUAACUGAGUGUGCGCAGGACUUGCGACGUUUACUUUGAAAAAAUUAGAGUGUUCAAAGCAGGCCAGCGCUUGAAUACAUAAGCAUGGAAUAAUGGAAUAGGACUUUGGUUCUAUUUUGUUGGUUUCUGGAACCGAAGUAAUGAUUAAGAGGGACAGUUGGGGGCAUUCGUAUUUCGUUGUCAGAGGUGGAAUUCUUGGAUUUACGAAAGACGAACUACUGCGAAAGCAUUUGCCAAGAAUGUUUUCAUUAAUCAAGAACGAAAGUACG
rnacentral:rRNA from 1 species